AUGACCUUGAGAGGUUCAAGAAGAUCAGGGAGCUGGAGCUGGGCCAAGGGAGCAAGCAGUGCUGCAGGUUACUUGGGGCCAGAUCGAGUAAGAUGGCGGAACAUGGCGUGUGGCGGCCUAUUUUGCUUCCAAGAGCAGUACUGUUUACUUGACAUCAAGUUGUUGUCAUGUACUGUCUAUGAUGUAGUGAACUGUAGGAGUGAAAUGAAAUUUUAUUUGCUGUUGUAUGUGUUAUUUUCCUGUAAUGUGUUGUGUACAUUUUACUUGAACAUUAAAUUCUCUAGAAAAUGUUCUUACUAG
rnacentral:rRNA from 1 species